ACGCUCGACACCUACGGGAGCAGCAGUAGGGAAUCUUCCACAAUGGGCGCAAGCCUGAUGGAGCAACACCGCGUGAGUGAAGAAGGGUUUCGGCUCGUAAAGCUCUGUUGUUGGAGAAGAACGCGCGUGAGAGUAACUGUUCACGCAGUGACGGUAUCCAACCAGAAAGUCACGGCUAACUACGUGCCAGCAGCCNCGGUAAUCUGAGCGGGCUGGCAAGGC
rnacentral:rRNA from 1 species